rnacentral:rRNA from 1 species
UACGAAGGGGGCUAGCGUUGCUCGGAAUCACUGGGCGUAAAGCGCACGUAGGCGGAUUGCUAAGUCAGGGGUGAAAUCCUGGAGCUCAACUCCAGAACUGCCUUGAUACUGGCGAUCUCGAGUCCGGAGAGGUGAGUGGAACUGCGAGUGUAGAGGUGAAAUUCGAUGAGAUAUUACGCAAGAACACCAGUGGCGAAGGCGGCUCACUGGCCCGGUACUGACGCUGAGGUGCGAAAGCGUGGGAGCAACAGG